rnacentral:rRNA from 1 species
GUGGUAUUUUGACUAUACAAAGGUAUUGUAAUAAGGCUUUAAUUGAGCGCUAAGAGAAUGGAUUUUCAAAAAAAUUCUUUUUUGAAUUUAAAAAUUGAAGUUAUUUUUAUUUGUGAAGAAACAACAAUAAAAAUUAAAGACAAGAAGACCCUAUGAAUUUUUUUAAAACAUAAUUAAUAUUAUAAUUGUGUGUUAAUUAAUUGGGGCGGAUUAAAAAGAAAUUAUAUACUUUUUAUAAAAAUAAAAUGAUCCUACAAGAUUGUGAUCUUUAUGAAAUAAAUACUCGUAGGAGAUAUACAGCAUAAUAAUUUUAGAUAGAUCAAUAUAGAAAAAAUAGUUUGCGACCUCGCAUGUUGGAAUUAGGCAUAAUUUUUUUAAA